UGCCUUCUUCAUCCGUUUGUUUAAGCAGCCAACCUUGGAUCUCAACUUUUUUACAAUACUAAAUUCAGGUGUUUCUCCUUUUAAAUUGGAAGCCCAUUCUCUCUGGAGACCCUAGAAACAUGAAAACACAGGUAAAGUUGAGCUCCAGAACUUGGACUUAAUUUGAGAAAAUGCUUGUUAUCAAGGACAUUCUGUACGUAGCUCUUAACACUCAGCCUGUCCACCCAGCUGUCAGGCUGACCACGUCCUCCGUCGACAUCAGGGCAGAUUGUGGUCUUAAUGCAGCAUAGAAAUCAGAUCUGUUACACAAGGUUCCUCUCCUUCCCUCCCGAAGACAAAGCAUCUUCUGUGAUAAUUUAUAUAUCGUUCCUAAGUGCUAUUCUCAAUGGUCUUCGCCAUCAUUCCAAAGAGAACGUGCUUUAGCUCUGAACUGAACUCCUCCUCUGCUUCAGUGAGUUUCCGGCGCUAUAGAGGUAAGCCGGUGAAGAUUAGAAUAGCAUUGACGUCACCAAGAAGACUUGGUUGCUCUGUCUUGACUGAAGGUUGGCUGAGAACGGUUUCUGUUCGACUUCGCUGGAAGUAAAAUCCCGUGGGCUUCCUGGGGGCGCGGCACAGCAGUGAGGAGCCUUGCACUGGCUCCUGGGCACAGACGGUGUGAGCACUUCAGUCCUGCUCAAGUGCCAUGACUAGGGCCAGAAAAGAGUUGAAUGGUUUCAGCUGUUUCAAAGGGAAUCCCACUCAAGGUUGAAAUUUUCUGGGAGAAAAAGCUUGCUCAAUGAUGUUAGGGGAAAAAAAAAAAAAAAGAAUUAGACAAAACCAGGAUGGUUCUGGCUCCAGUAAAUAAUAGACUGGUUUGGAACUUCACUUCCAUGUAUAAUUUUGUGGCUAGUCUCUGAUGUCUGUGAUGAUAAAUCACACACUUGCACAGGACUUCUGGCACCCCUGUAAAUCUCAAGCUAGUGCCCAAAUGCUAAUUUAUCAUGGUUCCUCAAACAGCAGACUUUUAUUCACCAAAUCAA
rnacentral:lncRNA from 1 species